rnacentral:rRNA from 1 species
UACGAAGGGGGCUAGCGUUGCUCGGAAUCACUGGGCGUAAAGGGUGCGUAGGCGGGUCUUUAAGUCAGGGGUGAAAUCCUGGAGCUCAACUCCAGAACUGCCUUUGAUACUGAAGAUCUUGAGUUCGGGAGAGGUGAGUGGAACUGCGAGUGUAGAGGUGAAAUUCGUAGAUAUUCGCAAGAACACCAGUGGCGAAGGCGGCUCACUGGCCCGAUACUGACGCUGAGGAGCGAAAGCGUGGGGAGCAAAC